AUACGUAGGUGACAAGCGUUAUCCGGAUUUACUGGGCGUAAAGGGCGUGUAGGCGGUCUUGCAAGUCAGAAGUGAAAUUCCUGAGCUCAACUCGGGCGCUGCUUCUGAAACUGCAGGACUUGAGUGCUGGAGGGGAUAGCGGAAUUCCUAGUGGAGCGGUAAAAUGCGCAGAUAUUAGGAGGAACACCAGUGGCGAAGGCGGCCUGCUGGACGACAACUGACGCUGAGGCGCGAAAGCGUGGGGAGCAAACAGGAUUAGAUACCCUGGUAGUCCACGCUGUAAACGAUGAAUACUAGGUGUGGGGGGACUGACCCCCUCCGUGCCGCAGUUAACACAAUAAGUAUUCCACCUGGGGAGUACGAUCGCAAGAUUGAAACUCAAAGGAAUGGACGGGG
rnacentral:rRNA from 1 species